rnacentral:rRNA from 1 species
CGAAGAUAAGACGGAUUAGCGGCGGACGGGUGAGUAACACGUGAGUAACCUGCCUUUUACACAGGGAUAGCCUCGGGAAACCGGGAUUAAAACCUGAUGAAACUAUCAAAUCACAUGAUUAAGAAAGUUAAAACUCCGGUGGUAAAAGAUGGACUCGCGUCCCAUUAGCUAGUUGGUGAAGGUAACGGCCCACCAAGGCAACGAUGGGUAGCCGGCCUGAGAGGGUGAACGGCCACAUUGGAACUGAGAAACGGUCUAAACUCCUACGGGAGGCAGCAGCA